rnacentral:tRNA from 1 species
GGGGGCGUAGCUCAGCUGGGAGAGCAAUUGGUUCGCAAUCAAUAGGUCCGGGGUUCGAAUCCCCGCGCCUCCACCA